UAUGAGGCAGAUUAAGCUAGCUUUUGUGGACUUCAACAAUUUCCCGAAUGAUUAAAAAUUUCUAAGACGAGUUGUUAGCAGGAGUUAUCUUCACAUUGUGCAAGGUUCUAAGAGAUAGAACACAGCCUCUAUCAAGACCUGGCAGUACUCGACUGUGGAAGCUGGGGAUUACUUGGGAGAAGAUAAACUAAAAGUGAGCACUGGAAAAUUUGUUACAGGAUUUAGUGAAAAAAGUAUUCUAAAUUCAUCAGCAUCCCCAAACCACGAAGUAGAUGGUGAAGUUCACGCAGAUGAAGGUCAAGGCCAAGGUGAAUCACAUAUGUACUUGCUCACAUCACUUUUAAUUGAAGGUUGUGCCCGGACAGUCAACUUAUAAGAAUGAGUUCAGCUAAAAAACCUGGGGAACUCUAACCAAUUACGUGAAUUGCGUUUGUCAGUAUAAAUGCUUCUUAUCACUGUUGUGGUGGUUGAAAGUGAAUGUCAACCGUAUUAUCUACAAUAGUUAAACUUUGUUCGCUCUAUGAAGCUCCCAGCAACUAUAUACCCGGGCGUUGUUUUUUUUGUUUAUGCACUAUUCUCCACCUUAUUCAUUUUCUAUAAUUUUACACGGAACCUUAAGUAUGUAGUAUACAAAC